ensembl:lncRNA
GAAGCUGAGAGGAAGCUCUAGACCAACACCUGUACUGUUCCAGCCCACCCUCUAGAUUAAGGACUUCUCUUACUGGAGACAGAGCAAACCCGGCUGAGUGUUUCUAUGGGUAGCAGAGCUUUAGGGUGAAGGAAACCCGCUUGCCAAACUGAAGAAGUUGCGUAAUAAGACAGAGUUCCACAAAUGUCAACAUAACUAUAAUACUUAAGAAAAUACAGACUUAAAAAAACCUGAGGACCUAACUUGUGUCUGUGCAAACAUCUACCAAUAUUUCACUUUUCCUUCCAAAAUGCGUUUUCCUUUCAGCAGAUAAACUUGGAGGCUGCUUGUUCAACAUUGAGAAUAAGGUGUUAAUCACCUUGUUGGACUCCAAGGUGUGAUAAAGAAACCCUCACUCAGUAUAUUUCUUCUGCAACACAUAUAUGUAAAACAGCAGAUACUGCCAUAACGAUGCAGUUCAUUGGAAGGUAAGCCAAGAUAGAAGUCCUCUAUCAAUAUUUGUUUUGCUUCU